rnacentral:hammerhead_ribozyme from 1 species
GCACUGCUGAGGAGUCCCGUACUGAGACGAAACGGCCGUCCAGUGC